CUGGCCUAAUACAUGCAAGUCGAAGCCAUUGUGGUUGAAAUGAUAUGAAGAACUUGUUCAGAUUUGAUUUUCAACAUUGCAAUGAGUGGCGAACGGGUGAGUAACACGUGGGAAACCUACCUCUUAGCAGGGGAUAACAUUUGGAAACAAAUGCUAAUACCGUAUAAUAAUUAAAACCGCAUGGUUUUAGUUUAAAAGAUGGUCUUGCUAUCACCUAAGAGAUGGUCCCGCGGUGUAUUAGUUAGUUGGUGAGGUAAUGGCUCACCAAGACAAUGAUACAUAGCCGAGUUGAGAGACUGACCGGCCACAAUGGGACUGAGACACGGCCCAUACUCCUACGGGAGGCAGCAGUAGGGAAUCUUCCACAAUGGACGAAAGUCUGAUGGAGCAACGCCGCGUGUGUGAUGAAGGGUUUCGGCUCGUAAAACACUGUUGUAAGAGAAGAAUGACAUUGAGAGUAACUGUUCAAUGUGUGACGGUAUCUUACCAGAAAGGAACGGCUAAAUACGUG
rnacentral:rRNA from 1 species